AGUGAACGCUGGCGGUAGGCCUAACACAUGCAAGUCGAACGGCAGCACAGUAAGAGCUUGCUCUUACGGGUGGCGAGUGGCGGACGGGUGAGGAAUACAUCGGAAUCUACUUUUUCGUGGGGGAUAACGUAGGGAAACUUACGCUAAUACCCAUACGACCUACGGGUGAAAGCAGGGGAUCUUCGGUCCUUGCGCGAUUGAAUGAGCCGAUGUCGGAUUAGCUAGUUGGCGGGGUAAAGGCCCACCAAGGCGACGAUCCGUAGCUGGUCUGAGAGGAUGAUCAGCCACACUGGAACUGAGACACGGUCCAGACUCCUACGGGAGGCAGCAGUGGGGAAUAUUGGACAAUGGGCGCAAGCCUGAUCCAGCCAUACCGCGUGGGUGAAGAAGGCCUUCGGGUUGUAAAGCCCUUUUGUUGGGAAAGAAAAGCAGCAGGUUAAUACCCCGCUGUUCUGACGGUACCCAAAGAAUAAGCACCGGCUAACUUCGUG
rnacentral:rRNA from 1 species